UACAGAGGGUGCAAGCGUUAAUCGGAAUUACUGGGCGUAAAGCGCACGUAGGCGGUUUUUUAAGUCAGAUGUGAAAGCCCCGGGCUCAACCUGGGAAUUGCAUUUGAAGCUGGGGAACUAGAGUGUGUGAGAGGGGGGUAGAAUUCCAAGUGUAGCGGUGAAAUGCGUAGAGAUUUGGAGGAAUACCAGUGGCGAAGGCGGCCCCCUGGCACAACACUGACGCUCAGGUGCGAAAGCGUGGGGAGCAAACAGG
rnacentral:rRNA from 1 species